rnacentral:lncRNA from 1 species
UUUGGUGAUUUAAAGAGUGCAUUCCAACCAUCAAAUCUGAAAUACCAAGACUUUGAAAAUUUUCCAAAUCUUGGCACCAUUCACCCACCUUGCCAAGUGUCACCACCAAAUUUUGCUAGCCUGAAAACCAACCAAAAUUAAAAAUUUCUUGCAUGAAUAUCUUUACUGUAGUCAUUUCGUGAUAUAAAGAGUGCAUUCCAACCAUCAAAUCUGAAAAACAAAGACUUUGAAAAUUUUUCAAAUCUUGGUACCAUUCACCGACCUUGCCAAGUCUCACCACCAAAUUUUGCUAGCCUGAAAACCAACCACAAUUAAAAAUUUCUUGCACGAAUAUCUUUACUAUAGUCAUUUGGUUAUAUAAAGAGUGCAUUCCAACCAUCAAAUCUGAAAAACCAAGACUUUGAAAAUUUGUCAAAUAUUGGUACCAUGCAACGACCUUGCCAAGUCUCACCAACAAAUUUCGCUGGCGUGAAAACAAACCAAAAUUAAAAAUUUCUUACAACAAGAUCUUUACUGUAGUCAAUUGCUGAUAUAAAGAGUGCAUUCCAACCAUAAAAUUUGGAAAACCAAGACUUUGAAAAUUUCCCAAAUCUUGGCACCAUGCACUAACCUAGCCAAGUCUCACCACGAAACUUGGCGAGCUUGAAAACAAACUAAAAUGAAAAAUUUUUUGCACCAACAUGUUUACAGUAUUCAUUUGGUGAUAUAAAGAGUGCAUUCCAACCAUCAAAUCUAAAAAACCAAGACUUUGAAAAUUUUCCAAAUCUUGGCCCCGUGCACCGACCUUGUCAAGUCUCACCACCAAAUUUUGCUAGCGUGAAAACCAACAAAAAUAAAAAAUUUCUUGUACAAAGAGCUUUACUGUAUUCAUUUGGUGAUAUAAAGAGUGCAUUCCAACCAUCAAAUCUGAAAAACCAAGACUUUGAAAAUUUCCCAAAUCUUCGCACCCAUGCACCGACCUUGUCAAGUCUCACUACCAAAUUUUGCUAACCUGAAAACCAACAAAAAUAAAAAAUUUCAUGCACGAAGAUCUUUACUGUAGUCAUUUGGUGAUAUAAAGCGUGCAUUCCAACCAUCAAAUCUGAAAA